GCUCCACUGUGACAAUACAAUGCUCCAAUGUGUUAUCACAAUGCCGCUAUGUGCCUUCGCAAUGCCCUAGUGUUUCCUACCAAUGUUCAAUGUGCCACCACAGUG
rnacentral:miRNA from 1 species